UACGAAAAUCAAUAAUUAGUUUUUUAAUACUUAAAGGAAGAAUGUGUUUCUAAAAAUGAAUGUAGAUAUUGGUAGUUAGUUCCUUUUACAAGAAAUUGUUUUUGUUUUUGUUGCUGUAAGGAAAUUAUAUAUAGUAUGCUUUGUUUUGAAAUUUUGUGUUUUAAAUUGAUUUCUCCUAAAUCACAUUUUAAAUCAUUAAUACAACUUCAGAAUACUAUGAUUUUUUUUUUAGUUUAUUAUCAUUAAAACGUGAUCUUAGAAGAGGGGUUUGAAUUGAACAAUAUUUUCUUAGUUUAUUAUGCGUGGCUUCCUUUUUACCUUUCUUUUGCUAAUAUAUUAAAUUAUGUUUCAGUAAUCGACGAACUUGACUUCAUCCACUAGAUUAAGCAAGGCCGAGUCUAUAUUUGAAAACGAUGAACGUUUCAAGGUUGUUGAACGUAACAAAGAUCAUUGGGAUACGUUUGAAAGCUUCUUCGAGGAACCUGUAAUCAAGCACUAUACUGACGUAUGAAAUUUGGGACAAUCUUUUUGAAGUCACAGUUCAUAAUGAAGACCACUAAGUGCUUGUUAUAUGAUGAUCCAAAUUUUGAGGGGCAUGGAAAUCCUUCUAGUGGUAUAUUUAUACUAUAUUUAUUUAUGUUUCAACUAUAACAACCAUGUUAGCCUAUUAGUAGCAUUAUGAGAAAGGAAGUAAAGAUUUGUGGUUCAGGAUAGUAGAAGUUAAAGAAGAAUUUGUCAGUGAGCUUUUAAUGGUUUCUGAUUUUUUUUUAUAUUUGUGGUUUAAUUUGAUUGAUUUUUUUAUCCCCUAA